AUAGUUUUCAUUGUAGAGAUCCUUCACUUCUUUAAUUCCUAGAUAUUUAAUUUUAUUUGUGGCUCUUUUAAUUGGGAUUACUUUUGUUAUUUUUCAGAUUGUUCACUUUUGGCAUAUAGAAAUGCUACUGAUUUUUGUAUGUUGAUUUUUUAUCCUGAAACUUUACUGAAUUUGUUUAUCAGUUCUAAUAGUUUUUUGGUGGAGUCCUUAGGUUUUUUCCAAAUGUAAGAUUAUAAUUAUCUGCAAACAAGGAUAAUUCAACUUCUGUUCCAAUUUGGAUGCCCUUUAUUUAUUUCUCUUGUCUGAUUGCUCUAGCUAGGACUUCCAGUAGUAUGUUGAAUAACAGUGGUGAAAGUGGGUGGUGGUGAAUGCACUUUUAAAAAGAAAGUAGGUUGAGUUCCCAGAAGAAAAGAGCAGUGAUCUGACCUUAGGCCUGAGAAGUAGUUUUUUUGUUGUUGUCUGUUUGUUUGUUUGUUUUUGAGACAGAGUCUUGCUCUGUUGCCAGGCUGGAGUGCAGUGGCGCGAUCUCUGCUCACUGCAACCUCCGCCUCCUGGGUUCAAGUGAUUCUCCUGCCUCAGCCUCCCGAGUAGCUGGGACUACAGGCACUUGCCAUCAUGCCCAGCUAAUUUUUGUAUUUUUAGUAGAGACAGGGUUUGACCAUGUUGGCCAGGAUGGUUUCAAUCUCUUGACCCUGUGAUCUGCCCGCCUCGGCCUCCCAAAGUGCUGGAUUUUUUGGCCUUUAAUAAGGCAAAAUUUUUAAAAAAGCCUAUGUUUUCUAGCAAAGAAUAAGAUAAAUAAUUUAAGGAACACUUUCACUUAAUUGGAAAAGAGAGCAAAAAAGAAUUUUUACUUUAUUAAAAAUAAAAUAUAUAAAUGUAAAAAUAAAGGAAACCAAACAUAACAGGAUUACCUAGUGAUGUAAUUUCUGUAUAGAAAGGAAUAUGAGGGAACAAUAAGAAUUAUGAGUUCAGCCAAGCAUCAGACAGAAGUGUGAUAGUAUCAGAAUUCUUAAUUAUUUUCAGUCUUCAAUGUUUGGGAACCUGGGUCAGAAGAGUCUUGAAACCUUUUCUUUCUUUCUUUCCUCCCUUCCUUCCUCCCUCCCUCCCUCCCUUCCUUCCUUGCUUUCUUUGCUUAUUUCCUUUUAAAAGUUUAAAAAAUUUGUUUGGGGGUACAUAGUAUGUGUAUAUAUUUAUAGGGUACAUGAGAUGUUUUGAUAAAGGCAGGCAAUGCAAAAUAAUCACAUCAUGGAGAAUAGGGUAUCCAUUCCUUCAAGCAUUUAUCCUCUGUGUUACAAACGAUUCAAUUACAUACAGUUUUGGUUAUUUUUAAAAUGUACCAUUAUGCUAUGGUCACCCUGUUGUGCUAUCAAAUAGUAGGUCUGUUCUUUAAUAUUAUAAUUAUGAGACUUGGCUGAUGACAAGAAUUUGCAUACGGGUGUUUUCUUUUUUUAUAUAUUUUUUAAUUUUUUGAGACGGCUUUUUGCUCUUGUUGCCCAGGGUGGAGUGCAAUGGCGCGAUCUCAGCUCACUGUAACCUCUGCCUCCCGGGUUCAAGCGAUUCUCCUGCCUCAGCCUCCCAACUAGCUGGGAUUACAGGCAUGUGCCACCAUGCCCGGCUAAUUUUGUAUUUUUAGUAGAGACGGCGUUUUACUAUGUUGAUCCGACUGUUUUUAGUAGAGACGGGGUUUUACUAUGUUGGUCAGGCUGUUCUCAAACUCUUGACCUCAGGUGAUCCACCCACUUCGGCUUCCCAAAGUGCUGGGAUUACAGGCAUAAGCCACCACACCUGGCCUAUGGGUGUUUUAAUUCAAAAUUUCGUCAUGACUAAAUUUCCCUACAAAUCUAGCUUUAUAUUUUACUGACAAUUUUUUUUGUUUGUUUGUUUUUGUUUUGAGAUGGAGUCUCACUCUGUCAGCCAGGCUGGUAUUCAGUGGUGUGAUCUUGGCUCACUGCAACCUCCACCUCCUGGGCUCAAGUGAUCCUCCCACUUCAGCCUCCCGAGUAGCUGGGACCACAGAUGCACAGCACCAUGCCCAGCUAAUUCUUGCAUUUUUUAUAGAGACGGGUUUUCACCAUGUUGCUCAGGCUCAUCUUGAAUUCCUGAGCUCAAGUGACCUUCCUGCCUUGGCCUCCCAAAGUGCUGCGAUUACAGGCAUGAGCCAUUGCGCCUGGCCGUUACUAUUUUUUAAAAAUAAUAUAUUCUGUUUUACUAAUCGGUAUGCAGGGUUCUUGAAGUUUGAACCAGGGAGAAAUAGAGGGACAUCCAGAGGAUAUUCCUCGUUCUCUUUCCCACCUAGCCCACUGUACACUUUCCCUACCUUGUAGAUGGAAAUGUCAGCGAAAUUCUGGUAUCAUAUAGGAGGUUAAGGCAUCCUCAUUAAUUAGUUUUCCACCGCUUUUCUUUUUUCAGUUUAAAUUAUUUAUUUAUUUUUUAAUCUUUCACUACUUCUUUUUCUACUCUUGUGGCCUGUAGCAACGUGUUUUUAAGAAUGAAGAGCAUCACUUUACUCUUUCAUCCUUCCUCUGACUCUUUCCCUACAGUUACUGGUCUGAAUGAACACAUAAAAUGAGAUUUUUGUGCAAACUAAACAUUAUUUUCCAACUUUUCCUCCAGUCCAACAAAGUCUCUAGGAAUUGGACUGUGGAAAAUGGGGAAAUAUACUAGAAGCCCACUAGCGGAGAGAAUGAAUUUUACUUUUAGCCUGAGUUUCUGAUUCUUUGUGCUCUGCUACUAAUCUGACUUGCAUUUCACUGAUUGUAAAUGUUGUUUUAGACUCUAAGAUCAGUCUGAAAGAUUUUCAUAUAACAUUGGUUCCCUUUUUGCUUUCAAUUUGAAUUUGUACCACUCCAUUUAGUGCUUAUUUGUUCCUAGUGAGAUAGCAUGGCGUAAUGGAAAAGAACAAGAAAUAGAAAUCUUAGAGGAUUUCUAUCUGAAUUUUGGAUCUUAUUAUUAACCAUGUGGUAAAUGAACAUUUCUGAAUUUCAGGCUGUUUGCUUUUUUUGGGGGGGGAUUGUUUUUAUUUUUAAAUUUUUCUUGCUAUCUGUGGUCACAUCUCUAUCAGGCUCGUUUUUUUUUGUUUUUUUUGUUUUUUUUGUUUUUUUUUUAGAAUAGAAUAACAUCUCCUACUUCAUAGGAAUGCUAUAAAGAUUAAAUUAAACUUUUUUUUUUUUUUUUUUUUUUUUUUUUUUGUAGAAAGAGGGGUCUCAUUAUAUUACCCAAGCUGUUUUUGAUCUCCUGGCCUCAAGCAAUCCUCCCAGCUCCACCUCCCAAAGUGCGGGGAUUACAGGUGUGAGCCACCGUGCCCAGCCAAGGAUUAAAUUCCAUUAUGCAUAGACCUUUAUAAAAUGGAAGUCAUGCAAAAAGGUUUUUUUUUUUUUCCUGCAAAAAGAGUUUUUGAAUUUUACUCUGAAAAGGUGUAGAAUUUAACUUUCUCCAUGUCUUUUUUUUUAAGGAAUCAAGUACUUAAGGUAGAAGUGUAAAGAAAAUGCUGAGCAGGCCCCCAAAUCUGCUCUAGACUGAUUUAGAGAAGACAUUUUAAAAAAAUGAAAAUGGGAGCCGGGCGCAGUGGCUCACGCUGUAAUCCCAGCACUUCGGGGAGGCCGAGGUGGGUGGAUCACGAGGUCAGGAGAUAGAGACUAUUCUGGCCAACAUGGUGAAACCCCGUCUCUACUAAAAAUACAAAAAAUUAGCCGGGCCUGGUGGCACGCACGCGCUUGUAGUCCCAGCUACUCAGGAGGCUGAGGCAGGAGAAUCACUUGAACCCGAGAAGCGGAGGUUGCAGUGAGCUGAGAUUGUGCCACUGCACUCCAGCCUGGUGACAGAGCAAAACUCCAUCUCAAAAAAAAAAAAAAAAAAAGAAAACGCCCAUUAAUUGAACGCCUAUUAUAUAUCCAGGAUGUACUAAGAGCUAUACGAAAAAUCAAGAUUAAUCUUUUAAAUAUAAAAUUAUUGAGAUGUGGCUUAAUUCUGAAUCAGAGAAUUUUCCAGAUCAUGGAGAUCUCUAUCUCCUAAACAACAAAUAUUGAUAAUUUUAAAUUACUUUUUCUCCACCUAAAUUUACCUAUUUGAUACGAUGAAUGAAGGUCAACAUGGAUUAAAAAUUUGGAUAUCAGUCUAUCAUUAGAGAAUUAAGAGACUGGUAUAGAGAGAAAAAAAUAGAUUUAGGAAUACAUACCUUCACGCAGUACAUGGAAGAAACACCUAACUGUUGUGACAUCAAAUAUGUUAAAGCGCUUUCAUUAACUUAAUUUUAGGAAUAUCAAAAUGCAACGUGUAAAUCCGGUUAAUAAUUAGAGGGGAUGCCAGCAUGCACACAGCUCCUCCAAGAUAGCCAGUUAAGAUGAUGUGUGAGUAAUAGAAAAAUCAUUUCUAUUUUUGGAAUGGUUUAUAUAAUUUUUCAACAGAAAAUUACAGGAUUAGAAGGAACCUAAAAGGAUGAUAUGGUCCAGUACCCUGACGUCAAUAAAUGAGUGGCUAUUUUUCCUGAUUUGCUCUUUUCAUAAAAUUGUUGCAGAAAUGAAAACUGCUUGCCUUCUCUUUUUGCCAUUCCAUUAUUUUAACCAUCUGUGGGUCAAGGAGUUAUUCUUAAUUAUUACUACGUUUAGUUUCUUUGUUGAAAUAGAGAAGAGUUAUAGUUAGUAUCUUUUAAAUUAAACAUUUUUUGAGUACUAGCUCUUACUCUAGUUUCUUGGUACCAUAUCUUUCAGCUUUCUCUCAAAAGGUAUUUUCAUUCUUAUCAAUGCUUUUCCUAUCAUUCUGGAUACUUCGUUAAGUUUAUCUUCAUUUCUCUAAGAAGUGUAAGGUGUAGUGGAAGUAUUAAUUUAGUAUACUUGUGGUUUCUAUUUGCCUGUUUUCCCUUUGAGAGCAGUACACUCCUUUUAUUUCUGAAUACUCUGCAUCAGAGCCCCUUGUCUGGCAUGUAGAAUAUGUUCAAUAAAUGUUUAUUGAAUGCAUAAAUGUAUGUUCUCAUUCUCUUUACACAUCUUGAUAGCAUGCUAAUGUUCAUUUUUUAUCAGGUAAAGCAAGAAGGGGAGGAAGUUGAACCUUAAAUUUGUUUAGUGACUUUAUCAUGGUCACAGAACCACUACUUUUUUGGUAUAGGGAGCCAAGGAUCCAAAUGGAG
rnacentral:lncRNA from 1 species